rnacentral:lncRNA from 1 species
CAGGUGGCUCUGCAGCAGCCUCUGCCACCCUGUGACCUGCGAGUAUUGGGACAUCCCUAGCUGACGCCAGGACACCCGGGAAGCCGAGGAAUGGACUCGGUGGCUUUUGAGGAUGUGGCUGUGAACUUUACCCAGGAGGAAUGGGCUUUGCUAGAUUCUUCUCAGAAGAAUCUCUACAGAGAAGUGAUGCAGGAAACCUGCAGGAACCUGGCUUCUGUAGAAAUCAUAUCGUACAGAGACUGUGUGAAAGUAAAGAAGAUGGUCAGUAUGGAGAAGUUGUCAGCCAAAUUCCAAAUCUUGAUCUGAACGAGAACAUUUCUACUGGAUUAAAACCAUGUGAAUGCAGUAUUUGUGGAAAAGUCUUUGUACGUCAUUCCCUCCUUAAUAGGCAUAUCCUAGCUCACUCAGGAUACAAACCAUAUGGAGAGAAGCAAUAUAAAUGUGAACAGUGUGGGAAAUUCUUCGUUUCUGUUCCAGGUGUUAGAAGAC